AUUCAGUCGAUGAGUCCCAAAUAGGACGAAACAUAUAUCCUGGAU
rnacentral:hammerhead_ribozyme from 1 species